CAUAGGACAGCAUUAUGCUUCUAUGGAGAAUUAGUGAUAUCUGCUUCCGAAGAUGACUAAUUUGUGAAAUGAUUUGCCUAAAAGUAGGUAAUAGCAGAAAAACAGAUUAGAGAAACAUUUGAUGCCCUUCAUUUGCUGUACGUGAUUUUGAGCGUCAUUCACAGGCGCGCCAAAUUCCUUUUAUGCGCAUCAGGAAUCAUGUGGUCGUAAAAAUAGUCGUAUUUUAUAAACAGUUUAAUAUAUCGAAACGACAGCAAGUAAAGAGGAGACAUUCUGUCGUACGAUUAACGUUUGAAACGUUUUGGUCAAAUGUUUGAGCGGAGGGAAGACAAGAGUCCUUAUAAAUUACAUAAUCAGUAUUUGUCCAAUUUUUCGUAACCAAACAAAGAGUGGGAUACGGGCGAUUGGAGUAUCAAACUGACCACCUUGAGGUCCAGUUUUGCAAAGAAAAAUUUAGCGCUUGAAAGUAAUCAGGGUGAUUAAGGAAACCUUAAUUAGUAAUAUGAGGAAGAAUUGAAAUAUUUCAUGAACAGUUGCUGCAAGUGUAAAUUACAGUCAAAAAGUCACUCUAUUCAAGGCUUGCCUUCUUUGCACAUGAAAAGAUACAAUGAUGUGAUAUUUAACUAUCAGAAAUGCUUCCUUGGAAUCAAGUUCUAAAUUUAGGAUUUUCGAGAACGGAAGGUGCAAGGAAGGUUAUUAAGGUGUCAGUCUCAUGCUUUAUGAAUAAACUUGAAAAUAAAAAAUGAAAGAAAUCUGCCAAAUAUUUUGUGAUAUGAUUUAUCCAAAAGAAAUAAAAUAGAUCAGAGAAACAUUUGACAUACCUUUGAAUGAUACUCAAAAUAAUGUACAGCAGGUGAGGCGCAUCAAAUAUUUUUCUAAUCUGUUUUAUUUUUUACUUUGACGCAAAUCAUUUCAUAAAUUGGUCAUCUUCGGAAGAUUAGUAUCAUCGGUUUUGCCUAUGUUAGUGCCUUCUCCAGAAAAGCAUAAUGGCAUCAUAUUUCCGGAAAACUACACAUUGUAUAUGAAUAUUGUAAACACAGUUGACUAUUUACAAUAACUGAAUUAGGUUUAUGUAUAUGUCAAGCUGUUGUGUUUUAUUAGGAAUUUUAUGGGUGUUAUGUAAUGAGAUUGGUGUGUGUACACUUAAAGAUCAAGUACUUAGGCAAUACCUUAAAAAUAUACUUUGAGAUACAAUGUAAAGAGUGUAGAUAAAACUUAGUGCACAUAACAGAUGAUAGGAUUGUGUUUCAGUCAUGUAAAAUAUCAGAAGCAACUGGGAUCGAACUCAACACCCUCGGCAAAUGACGCUACCAUUACACCACAGAAAACUGUUGCAAGAUACCUCUAAUUGUUUGCUAUUAGUCAGUCAUUCUUCUGCACUUAUCAGCCAAUGAAAGUUCUUUGUCGGAUAAGAAACACUAGUCUUUAAUUUAUUGAUGAGGUAGUUGAACGAAUCCUGCUCAUACCCAGAUUUCGAAUGAUUUGUCUGGUGGCCUUCAUUGCUGAUGAUAUAAAUAAGUAUGAAAUUCUCCAUCAAGAGUUCUUUGUAAAUUUCAUGCACAGCAUCCCUUUGUCACCUUACUUUCCUAACUGAGGCUAAUUUUGCAGGCUUACUCUUGAGCUACAAGAUUCUACGAUUUAUAGGCAUCUUUUUAUAGAAACAGCUGCAUUUCCACAAUUAUUUGGUUAAGACUGCAAAUGCAAGAGGGCUCUGGAUUUCACAUUUGCAACACCUCUCAUAAAUGGAUCCUGCAUGACGAGCUUUUCACUCACUGAAUUUCCAUUAAUGAGGAGAGGUGCAAAGGGAUGCGGAUUUUCUGUCAAUGAACCAACUGUCAUUCAGCACAUGUAAAGUUCAUGACUGUGACGUCCAAUACGAAUAAGUGUUUUCCGUUGUGGAGCAGAAGAGGCUCAGUGGAGACUGGGAGGCAAGGCUCAUACAUUAAUGAUUGGAGCCAGUGUGUUGGUUAGUCUGGAUUUGGUUUUUAGAUGGUUUUCCACAGCUACCCAGGU